GAAAAUAAUGUAUAAUAAUAAAAAUGCUGAAGGCAGAAAAAAAGUAUUUUUUCGUUAAUAUAUUAUUAAAUAUUUUAUCAAGCGCUUUUUUAUAUUUUUUAUAUAUUUUAUAAUUGUUAGGAUCUUAAUAUUAUUUCAUUUAAUUAUAAAUAAAUAUAUAUAUAUUAUAUGUUUUAAUCAUAUAAUAUAUUUUACAUAAUAUUAAUCUGGCUUUUACAAUUUUAUUAAUUAUUUUAUAAUAUAUUCACGUGAAAAAAGUUUUUUAGAAUUUAAUAAUUUAAACAAUAAUAAAAACAAUUUUUUUGCCAUUUUUUUUUUCAUUACGUAUAAAUACUAUUUUUCAAAAUUGGAAAUAAAAAAUAAAGGAAAAUCACGAAAAAAUUAUUUAUUAUGUUAAUAAUUUAUUACGCAUUUAACAAUUUAUUGUACCCAAAUAGGCAUGUUAAGUAAAGUAAGUGGGGGGGGUAUACAUAUAUGAUAUAUAAUAAUAUGUGCAUUCUUUUUUUGAAUACAUUUUUAUUAUAUCGUUUAUAUAUAAAAUGAACAUAAAAUUGAACUACAUAAAUAUGGCAUUUUUUCAUAAAGUCGAAUCUCAUGUUAAAAAUGUAAUCCUUAUGAAUUAUCAUUGGACAAACAUUUGUGAAAGGGAUAUAAAAACAUAAAGUAUUUCUUUACAUAUAUAUUCAAGUAAAUAUGUCCUCAUGAGGGUAAAUAAAUAUAAUGUAAAAUAUGCUUUUACUUUAAAUAUUUUUAAUUUUUAAAAUUUGGGAUUAUAAAGAUAUUAUAACAAAAUAUUAUAUAAUAUAUAUAUAUAUAUAUAUAUAAUGUGCGUAAUUUAUAUAUUUUUUUCCUUUCAUGAAAAUGUAAUUAAUAUAAUUUGUGGAAUGUUAAUUUAAUUGGUUGUUUUAUAUAUAAUAUAUAUAUAUAUAUAUAUAUUAUCCAUGAGCUAAUCUGUUAUAUUGAAUGAAUAGUAUACAUUAAGAAAUGAAAAAAUUUUAAAAAGAAAGAAAAAAUCUACAUCGGUUUUUUCUUCAUUUUA